GGAGGGGGGAGGGAUUAGAGCUGCCGAGCUCACCAAGGAACCAGGGCUAGAGAGCCCUUGGAAGGAAAGAGGUCAGUAGCAAGUUCCUACCCAGAAUGCCUAGGGCUGCAAAGAAUCUGUGCACCACGUGAGCGAGACACUUGACUGUAAUGGAGACGUGGGUUGCGGCAGAAAGACGGGGUUUCCUGGAAGGGGCAGAUAGGAUAAAGGUCCUACUGGCCCACAGGUCUCAGAGCAAGCAACCCGGAAGAAGCUACCGGAGCUCACACACCUGGUCUCUGGACCUGGCUGAC
rnacentral:lncRNA from 1 species